ACCAGAUCAGCUGCCUGGAGACAGGAGGAGGGGAUGGAGAGGCCCAGUGAAACAGUUUGUCCACACAAGAGGAGUCUGACAAUCAUGGAUUUGAGUUGCAUCCUCACAUGGCCUCCAGGGAAGGCACCAGUGAGUGCCAGGGUAGCAGUUCUGACACUCCCGUGACACAGAUGCCACCUUCAGAGCUUUGCUUGUAAAACUCUCAUUGCCCAGGCCAACUGCAUCAGAAUCUCAUGGAGGUGAGCCCCAGGAUGAUUUCGUAAAGUUCCCAGGGGAUUCCAACAUGCAGUCAAGAUGGAAAAUCACUGGUCUAAACAGGGCUAUUUUACUACUA